rnacentral:rRNA from 1 species
AGAGUUUGAUCCUGGCUCAGAUUGAACGCUGGCGGCAUGCUUUACACAUGCAAGUCGAACGGCAGCACGGGUGCUUGCACCUGGUGGCGAGUGGCGAACGGGUGAGUAAUAUAUCGGAACAUGUCCGGAAGUGGGGGAUAACGUAGCGAAAGUUACGCUAAUACCGCAUAUGCCCUGAGGGGGAAAGGGGGGGAUCGUAAGACCUCUCGCUUUCGGAGUGGCCGAUAUCGGAUUAGCUAGUUGGUGAGGUAAAGGCUCACCAAGGCGACGAUCCGUAGCGGGUCUGAGAGGAUGAUCCGCCACACUGGGACUGAGACACGGCCCAGACUCCUACGGGAGGCAGCAGUGGGGAAUUUUGGACAAUGGGCGCAAGCCUGAUCCAGCCAUGCCGCGUGAGUGAAGAAGGCCUUCGGGUUGUAAAGCUCUUUCAGCUGGAAAGAAAACGUAUCUAUUAAUACUAGGUGCGGAUGACGGUACCAGCAGAAGAAGCACCGGCUAACUACGUGCCAGCAGCCGCGGUAAUACGUAGGGUGCGAGCGUUAAUCGGAGUUACUGGGCGUAAAGCGUGCGCAGGCGGCUUUUUAAGCCAGAUGUGAAAUCCCCGGGCUUAACCUGGGAACUGCAUUUGGAACUGGAAGGCUAGAGUGUAGCAGAGGGGGGUAGAAUUCCACGUGUAGCAGUGAAAUGCGUAGAGAUGUGGAGGAAUACCGAUGGCGAAGGCAGCCCCCUGGGCUAACACUGACGCUCAUGCACGAAAGCGUGGGGAGCAAACAGGAUUAGAUACCCUGGUAGUCCACGCCCUAAACGAUGUCAACUAGGUGUUGGGGAAGGAGACUUCUUUAGUACCGCAGCUAACGCGUGAAGUUGACCGCCUGGGGAGUACGGUCGCAAGAUUAAAACUCAAAUGAAUUGACGG